rnacentral:snRNA from 1 species
GUACUUGUUUUGAUAGUACCUGUACUAACAUUGCAACAAUUUAGAGAAGAUUAGCAUGGCGUUUGUGUAAUGAUCACAUGCGAAAAAUGAUUUGCGUUUAUUUUUC